GGCUGGAUAGCUCAGUGGUUAGAGCAUGGUACUUAUUAUGCCAAUACACAGGGUAUUACUGGUACCCACAUAGUAUAACGUCUCACUUCCUGUGCUACAGGUGGAAAUAGCUUAGUAGUUCGGGCAUGCUGCUGUUAAUGCCAAGGCUGCAGGUUUUGAUCCCCAUUUUGAUCA